rnacentral:rRNA from 1 species
GUGCCAGCCGCCGCGGUAAUACGAAGGGGGCAAGCGUUGUUCGGAUUUACUGGGCGUAAAGCGUACGUAGGCGGAUGAUUAAGUCAGGGGUGAAAUCCCGGGGCUCAACCUCGGAACUGCCUUUGAUACUGGUCGUCUUGAGUCCGGGAGAGGUGAGUGGAACUCCUAGUGUAGAGGUGAAAUUCGUAGAUAUUAGGAAGAACACCAGUGGCGAAGGCGGCUCACUGGCCCGGAACUGACGCUGAGGUACGAAAGCGUGGGGAGCAAACAGGAUUAGAUACCCUGGUAGUCCACGCCGUAAACGAUGGAUGCUAGCCGUCGGGGAGCUUGCUCUUCGGUGGCGCAGCUAACGCAUUAAGCAUCCCGCCUGGGGAGUACGGUCGCAAGAUUAAAACUCAAAUGAAUUGACGG